CGCGUCCUCCUCCUCCACCCGGCAGCCGGCGCACGCAUCCUCCUCCACUCGCCGGUGCGCGUCAUCCUCCUCCGCCCGCCGCCGCUCGCAUGGCACCGAAGCGCCCGGUCGCGCCCGCCGCGGCGCCGUCGGGGUCCGCGUCCGAGGCCUCCGACGCAGAGGCGGACGCGCCCCUGCCCCACCCCUCCUCCCCGUCGCCAUCCAAGACGCCGCCGCCGCCGCGCAACCCUAACCCUAAUUCGUCGGCCGCCGCGCCCGCCUUGGUCGGAGGAGGAGCUCCAGGGCGCUGUUGCCGAGCGGCCGGCCAGACUCCCUGCAGUGCGUGAGGAAGCACGCGGUUGCGGGCGUGCGCCAGCACGCGCUCCUGCUAGCACCACGGCACGACCAUGCCGCGGCCCGCGACAGCGUCAAGUAACCCCUCUGAGAGCAGCGGGCGGGUGUCCGACCGUAACACGGUGGAGCUAGCUGCUUGUGAAUGGGAGGGGGACGGAGGCACAGAGCAGCGGUGUCACCCAUGCGGAUUUUCGGAUAAUGCCGGCGGCCGGCGGCGGGGGCACGAAUAGGUCGUUUGCAGUUGCAGCAGAUGUUGUCGCACGAGCUGCUCGAGGACAUCUGUAGGAAUUGGUUCGUGCUGAACUUGCCCAAGAAGGAGCUGAUCAAUGGAGUUGAUUGGUGGAGCCUAUUCUUGCUGGAGCAACCCCAACCUCAAGUUUCUCUCCUUGAAUCCUUCAAGGAUUUCGCCUCUCAGUAAAUCUGCGUGUACCUAAAUGCAUCAGUGUCACUAGAUUGACAUUUGACACUACUUUCAUUGCGUUCAAGAUAAUAGAGAUGCAAACUGUUAUCAGACCCAAUAUCGUGCACCUAGAUUAUGCUGAAGAGGCCUUGCACGUAUGUUCCUAAAGUCCAAAAUGAUUUAAGAGUAUGCUAUUUAAGUUGAUCACGCAUAAGGUUGGAUUGAGUUUGACGCUUAGUCCUAUAUUUGUUGUACAGGUACCGAUAUGCCACAAUGAAGUGGAAAAAUAUUUUAUAGACUUUAAAUAGCUCUAUAUAUUUAUCAAAAAGAAACUUUUGCCAUCUGGUAUAUACUCAAAGCUCUGAUUCAUCAGACAGGGUGAUUUAUCAAUGAGGGCAAAGGCAUUCAAAGUGUUGAGGAAAAAACCAGUUCAGAUUUUGAAGGCAUGAGUUGCAAGCUGAUCUACAGUCAGGUUCCAUGUCCACGCUUUCUGCCCCAGUCUGCCCUAAACUUCAGUAGACGAGGAACCAUCGCCUGGUUGUGUGCAGGAGAAAGACUAUAAGCCUGCAUGUCACCAGAUUUUUCAAGAUGCUGCUGAAGAGACCUUGGAUGCAACUUAUCAACAUGAUUCAAAAGAACAAUUUUUGAGCUGCGUGAGGCUGAUGACCACAUGCUGCAAGAUAUACUCUACAGAUCUUCAGGUAUAUUGUUAGUGCUUGGCAAAGAACUGCCUCUCAAGUUUGUAGAGGUCGAUGAGGAACAGGGAAGGCUUGUCAUCAGCAAUCGCAUGUUCGUGCUGCUUCACCGGAACAAUACCAAAAAGAAAAAGAAAAGAGGGGCAAAGCUACUUUUGCAACUCUGCGGGAUCAGAGUGGGAAUCCAUGCUUCUGCGGUGCUGCCUCGCGUGAUCAGCCGUGCUUCAGCUACACAGUGGUCUUCCCAGCCGAUGCCAACGAGGUGGACGACGACUCUUAAGGUGAAUUUGGUGCCCAACAAUCCCAUGGGGAAGGAGAUUGCUGCUGCCAACCACCCUGGGUUGCAGCAGAUCGAUUUUUCGGGACCGUGCAAUGUCUAUAUGUGUCCGAGAGGAUCGUGAGCUUGAGUUGAUUCAAUGCCAGAGUCACCACCCUCCACCCCAAAUUAAUUUUAAAAAACCAUAGAAUAAAGGUGACCUGUACAAUUAGUAAUCCAGCACCACCCUUCACCCCAAGUUAGAUUUCUUAUAUGAUACAUAUAUACUCUGAUGCCUACUUACAAUUCUUGCAGAGUGACUGGCCUCCUGAUUUGUAAAUUUAUUGGGUGAUAUGAGUAACUUAGUGAGUCUGAGCUGAUGCCUGUAAUUGGGAAGCACCUUUGAGAAAAGCUGGCUCGAAAGUGAUGCACCACUUUCCGGCACGACAACACCUGAGAAGAAUGCGGUGCUUCUAUAUCACAGUGGAGGACAGCAGCUAUGAUAAAUCUCCUUGAUGUGUGUCCUUCACUGUCGAAAAAGAACUUGCUUAAAGUAUUAGACCUGUUGUGAGGUAAAAUGUUGUGUUCUACGCGACAUAUAUGUUUUGUUAAUGUCUUUGAGUUCAGCUAAAGCCCAGCGGUGAUACUAAGUGUAGACUGGAAUAUGUGUGCAACUACCAAAUAUGUCUUAGCAAGCUAGAUGUUUCUCCAAAAUUUGCAUUCUACAUGGUAUACUGCAUCCCGAAUUGCUAUUAUUUAUUUGCCAAGUCUUCAUCUACGUGCAUGGAAGAAUUCCCACAUGGAUUAGUUUCCACGCUGAUACCUGUUCAUCGACUGAGCCCAGCUACUUAAUAAGUUUAUAUGGGUACUUGGGUAAACAAAAGUGCAAAACCCUCUCACAGUUCACUACUGUUAUUUGAAUGUCUUCAAUCUCUUAUUUCUCGCUUGCAUCAAUCAAUAUCUUUGAGCAUAGUAUUGUAUGUCCUUAAGCAGGAUAGAGAUUAUUUCAAGAUAGCAGGGGCCACCCUUAUUAUUUUAGCUUCUUUUCACAGUAGUAAUGAAUAUGGUGAUUAUAAUUCGUUGGUGGUAUUUACGAUACUUCUUUGCAUUUCUGUAUUGGCUCAUCCUUUUCAACUAGAAAUAGUAAUGCUUAGAAUGCAGGUUUCCUAUCUGAGUGGCCUUCAAAUUAUGUCUGUGCUUCUAUGUACAUGUUUUAUUGCUUGAUUGCCCAUUUUGUUAAUCUUCCAUGAAUUCUUAUUUGUUUAAAAUGUUAGGAUAUUCAAUGGCACAAUAAUUAUUCAGUUCAGAUGCCAACAGUUUGACUAAUCAUGAUUGCCUUUUGCUGAUUGGGGGUGAGAAGAGAGAACUGAAAUAUAUUAUGUUGAAUCAUUCUGCAACUGAAACAACUGCAUGGAAAUCAAUUGCUUUAAGGUUUGGUGCACUCAUACAUUCUUAAUCAUUGCCAUUUCUAUGAGAGGUACCUCAUAGACUCAGAUCUCCAUAUUUCUGCCAACCUUUUGGUUCUUAGGUUCAAUUGUUUCAGAAAUUCUAUAUGCCAAAUUUCGGACUUCCCGCCCCGUGCGAAGCACGGGGGUACCUGCUAGUACUAUGAAUCAUUUGUGGCAUACUCCUACUUGCAUUCUGCAGGCUAUAUGUGUUUCCUAAAAAUAUAGCAUGUUGUUUAAAUUAUUCCAAUCAAAUGCUCAGCAAUAUUAAAUUGAUUUUGGGGUGCUUGUGCCCUGUGUCUCAACCACAACGGCUCAGUGCAGAGCAGAUGGACAGUAUCAACUAACUGGAAAUGGAAAAUUGAUUCUCUUAAUGGUGAAAAAUUUAUCAAAGUUGCUGAGGUUCAGGGAACCGAAGUGAAGCCAAGGUAGUCGUAGCUCAGGGACGCCACUGCUGAUUGCUGUUGUUGCCCGCCAAAGCAUACUCCUACUUGAAAAUGGAAUACUAUGACUCCUUUGUGGCAUACUCCUACCGAUAUAGAAGUAUUUAUGCAUCUAUUUGAUAUGGUAAUAUUGAUAUAUAGUUCUCAGCUGGCCCUAUUGUAGUAAAGCUUGAUAUGAUAAGCCGUGAUGCAUUGUUGCAAAACAAUGAUGGAUUGCAUA